UUAAUUAGUUAUGCCAAUGGAU
rnacentral:siRNA from 1 species